AUGGUCCAGAUACUGCCCGUCAUCCACAUCAAAGAUGGAAAACUGAGUAGCUUGCCCUACCUACCAGCAGACGUCACAUACCUGAAGGCAAAGUAUCACAGAGAAAGCAAGUUAGCUGACGUAGAAGACAACAUUGCCUACUUCAAAGAGAAAGAGAAGGAGGAUCCCUAUUUCUUCUACAGAAUAAGACUCGACGAUGAGGACCGUGUCAAAAAAAUGUACUGAGUGGAUGGUGCAGCGCGGAGAGCCUACAAACAUUUUCGUGACUGCAUUUCUUUCGACGCGACAUAUAUAAAUAUGUACAAGAUGCCAUGUGCUCCAUUCAUAGGCAUAAACAACCACAACCAGUCCUUGCAUUUGGUUGUGGCCUUGUACGGAACAAAGAUAUUGAUGGCUACAUGUAGCUGUUCAAAACCUUCUUGGAGUGCAUGGAUGGACUUGCUCCAAUGA
rnacentral:rRNA from 1 species